rnacentral:rRNA from 1 species
AGGACGAACGCUGGCGGCGUGCUUAACACAUGCAAGUGGAGCGACGAACCAGGCUUCGGCCUGGGGCAGAGCCGCGAACGGGUGAGUAACACGUGGGUAACCUGCCUCGAUGACCGGGACAACCCGAGGAAACCCGGGCUAGUACCGGAUGUGCUCCUUCACAUCAGUGAAGACAGGAAAGGAAGCUUCGGCCUCCGCAUCGAGAUGGGCCCGCGGCCCAUUAGCUUGUGGUGAGGUAACGGCUCACCAAGGCUGCGAUGGGUAGCUGGUCUGAGAGGACGAUCAGCCACACUGGGACUGAGACACGGCCCAGACUCCUACGGGAGGCAGCAGUGGGGAGUCUUGCGCAAGUGCGCGAAAGCGUGACGCAGCAACGCCGCGUGGGGGAAGACGGCGUUUCGGUUCGUAAACCCCUUUCGAAGGAGGACGAAGCCGAGAGCGGUUAAUAGCCGACGUCGGUGACGUACCUCCAGAAGAACGCCCCGACUAACGUACGUG